UCUGAACCCUAAACUCCCAUAAUACAGAAUACCGUUACCUUGAUAGCCACACCUAAUUAAGAAUGUACACUCAUCCACUCUUCAAACUACCAGAUGUGCCAGCCACACACAGAGGUCUGUCCUCAGGGAGUUAGAAUCUAAUCUAUUCAAGACAGUGGGAUGGUCUUUCCCAGCCUGUGGGAGGUCUUUAGAUGUCUAAGCUGCCAUGGCUUUGGUCAAAUGCUUUGGGGUGGGUGCGGGGAAAGUCAAAUCCAUGUACCAACUAUAAAAGGUAAUUAAGGGUUAUGUUAUUGACUUCUUCCUUCUAAGGGAUAUUCCUCUGGGCUCAAUUUUAUUGUGUUUAGUUCAUAUACAGUCCUAUAUAAAAUAGUUUGGGUCAAGUUCAAAUGGAUUCGCUGCUUAACCUUUGAAUAAAAAGAAUUCAAUUAAUCAGAGCUCUUGCCUCCUCCAUCCCAUCGCCACCACCUUUCCCCCAUGCUCUCUGGUUAAUCCAAGAUUCACAGCACAUAGAAACCUUCUGUAGUGAACAGACGGCAGGAGUCAGGUGAGUCUGGGGUCAGGAGAUGCUAUGCUGGGGUGAAAAGUCAUUUGAAUGUUUCCAGUCCUGAAUGCAUUCUCUGUACUGCAUCUGACAAAACUCCCUUGACACACUGAACCCCCAUGGAUCCUUUUCCCCCUAGCAAAGGGAGCAAAACUGGUUUCCCUUUGCCUUCCACCACGAUUGGAAACCUCCUGAGGCCCUCACCAGAAGCAAAUGCUGGCACUAUGCUUCAUAUACAGCCUACACAACCAUGCAGAGCCAAAUAAACCUCUUUUCUUUAUAAAUUAUCCAUUCUCAGGUAUUUCUUUAUAGUGAUUCAAAAUGAACUAGCACAUCUUGGAUCCCAUGUAUAGAGUAGAGCCCUAUCCUAAUGCCAAGGAAUAUGAACAAAUUGAACUUUUUUUUUCUAGCCUUGGACUUAUGGGGCUGUUUGUUACUGCAGCAUUACCUCCUGCAUCCUAUCUAGUAUAGCUUUAAGCUACUCUCCCCCUUUAACAAGUGGAGAAAAUGAGGCUGACAGAUGAAAUCAUUGGCUCAAAAGCUCAUGGCUACCACUGACAGAACCAAGACUCAAGUUCAGGUGGCCUGACUCCACAGCCCAUGACUCUCAUUCACUGUGGAAACUUCCCUCUAUCCCUUGAUGCCUGGAUAACCCAACAUUGUGUUCAAGUGGAAGCAGGGAUGUCACAAGAAUCCCACUUUAAAAUGAGCAGUAUACUGUGCCAUUCAUUACCUGGACUAAUGAGACAAAGGUGAUGCAGGAGAUGCCAAGUGUUAGGGCAUUCUGACAGCAAGAGGUAUCUCAUUAGGAAAAUAAUCCUGAAUGACAUUGUUCUUCUCUCAACAGGCUCCCAAAGAGGUCCAGGUGCCAAGAUAGUCCCUUUCCCCAAGUCCCACAGGAUCUAAUUGUGGGUUCUGCCCUGCCUGGAUGUCAGCUUAGAUUUUCUCAGGCCACAACUGGCUUGGCAGUGGGUAUAUUAGCCCUGAUUUUAAGAGAAGCAAACAUUAUGUAGCAGCCCAAAAAAGAAGCCCCUAUUGAGAACUUUGGGUACUAAGAGACAGGUUCUAUGUACUCCUCCCAGUUGAUGAUACACAGUGAGAUGACAUGUUUGCCAGGGACAGUACACAUCUGUGCACCGCUUCUAAGAAGAACUAUUGGGGUUUAUCAACAUACACAUCUUCACUUCACAGGAAGCGGCAUUCCAUAGUUUGCACAUUGGUCCUCUGGGCUACGAGAAUUUCAAAAGGAUUCAUGAGACUUUGGGGGGUGGAAAGUCAUUCCAGUGCCCCGGAGAUGAAAAUUCCCAUUAGAGCACAAAGUUCUGGGAUCCAGGUAGAGAGACUCAUGCUAUUUUCCCUUGGGAAAAGCCAGCUGUCACCUACUAGAAAGCUAAAGUCCAAGCAUCCAGCACAAAGUAAGAAGCAGGAACACAGGUAGAUGUGGCAGAGGCAAGCACGCUCUGAGUGGAUGGGAUGUAGGCAGGGAAUGAGGAAGACAGAAGGCAUGUUUCAGAGAGACUACCUCGAAACUGGAGGUAGUGCAAGAUUGAGCGCAUGCAAUUAAAUGGACCACAGGUAGCAUAGACAUCUCCCAACACAGUGACAUGUUCUCGACUUCCAUUGAGGUCUUCCUUUAUAGGAAAUUC
rnacentral:lncRNA from 1 species